UGGGGAAUAUUGCACAAUUGAGGGAACUCUGAUGCAGCGACGCCGCGUGAACGAAGAAGGCUUUCGAGUCGUAAAGUUCUUUUAUAUGGGAAGAUAAUGACGGUACCAUAAGAAAAAGCCCCGGCUAACUACGUGCCAGCAGCCGCGGUAAUACGUAGGGGGCUAGCGUUGUCCGGAAUCACUGGGCGUAAAGGGUUCGCAGGCGGAAAUGCAAGUCAGGUGUAAAAGGCAGUAGCUUAACUACUGUAAGCAUUUGAAACUGCAUAUCUUGAGAAGAGUAGAGGUAAGUGGAAUUUUUAGUGUAGCGGUGAAAUGCGUAGAUAUUAAAAAGAAUACCGGUGGCGAAGGCGACUUACUGGGCUCAUUCUGACGCUGAGGAACGAAAGCGUGGGUAGCAAACAGG
rnacentral:rRNA from 1 species